rnacentral:lncRNA from 1 species
CAUUGCCUACUUUCUGUUGGAGGAAUUUCUGUCCGUGCCAAGUUCUCUCACAGAAUGUAACUCCUACAAGGCAAAAACUGCUUUCGACAUAAUCACAUUUUCCAAAUCUCUUAUACUUUCCCCAUAGUGGGUGGAGAAGAAUGUGAAUUAUAAUUCUUUCCUAACAACUUGUUUCUAGGUCAAUCCCUCUUCAUUGGAAAAUCCCUCUGGAGAGUUCUCCCUUCCUUUAACUUAAGCAGCUUUUGGGUGUACAGACUCCUGGCUUAUGGAAUGAACUCGAAUCAUGAGGAUGGGAGUUAGCCACAUAGACUAAUGCUGUCUUUUUGGGAGCUGUUAACCCUUAAUUCAAUUUUUCCCCUUUCAGACUCAGUGGAGAAGGAGUUGGACCAGUCAACAUCUCUGUUGUCACAAGCAGUGUUUCCUCUGGAUAUGGCAGUGGCAGUGGCUAUGGCGGUGGCCUCGGUGGAGGUCUUGGCGGCGGCCUCGGUGGAGGUCUUGCCGGAGGUAGCAGUGGAAGCUACUACUCCAGCAGCAGUGGGGGUGUCGGCCUAGGUGGUGGGCUCAGUGUGGGGGGCUCUGGCUUCAGUGCAAGCAGUGGCCGAGGGCUGGGGGUGGGCUUUGGCAGUGGCGGGGGUAGCAGCUCC